GAUGAACGCUGGCGGCGUGCCUAAUACAUGCAAGUCGAGCGAAGAGACGAGGAGUUUGCUCCUCUGACGUUAGCGGCGGACGGGUGAGUAACACGUGGAUAACCUACCUAUAAGACUGGGAUAACUUCGGGAAACCGGAGCUAAUACCGGAUAAUAUAUUGAACCGCAUGGUUCAAUAGUGAAAGACGGUUUUGCUGUGACUUAUAGAUGGAUCCGCGCCGCAUUAGCUAGUUGGUAAGGUAACGGCUUACCAAGGCAACGAUGCGUAGCCGACCUGAGAGGGUGGUCGGCCACACUGGAACUGAGACACGGUCCAGGCUCCUACGGGAGGCAGCAGUAGGGAAUCUUCCGCAGUGGGCGGGAGCCUGACGGAGCAGCGCCGCGUGAGUGGUGGAGGUCUUCGGAUCGUAAAGCUCUGUUAUUAGGUGAAAACAAAUGUGUAAGUGACUAUGCACGUCUUGACGGUACCUGAACAGAAAGCCACGGCUAACUACGUG
rnacentral:rRNA from 1 species